rnacentral:rRNA from 1 species
AACGAACGCUGGCGGCGUGGAUUAGGCAUGCAAGUCGAGCGAGAAAGGGGGGGUAACUCCCCUGAGUAAAGCGGCAAACUGGUGAGUAACAGGUGGGUAACGUGCCCGGAAAUGGGGAAUAACUCCUGGAAACAGGGGCUAAUACCGCAUGUGGCUCAGGAGUCCCCGGACUCUGGAGUUAAAGGUUCCUUAAGCAAUUGAGGAGUCGUUUCCGGAUCGGCCCGCCCCUGAUUAGCUAGUUGGUAGGGUAAAAGCCUACCAAGGCGACGAUCAGUAGCUGGCCUGAGAGGGUGGUCAGCCACAAUGGGACUGAGAUACGGCCCAUACUCCUACGGGGGGCAGCAGUCUAGAGGCUUCCGCAAUGGGGGAAACCCUGACGGAGCGACGCCGCGUGUGGGAUGAAGAAGGCCGAAAGGUUGUAAAGUUCUUUUGCUAGGGGAGAAUAAGUGAGGGAGGGAAUGCCCUCAUGAUGACAAGGACUAGCGAAUAAGCCCCGGCAACUACGUG